UCCUACGGGGGGCAGCAGUGAGGAAUAUUGGUCAAUGGACGCAAGUCUGAACCAGCCAUGCCGCGUGCAGGAUGACGGCUCUAUGAGUUGUAAACUGCUUUUGUACGAGGGUAAACCCCGAUACGUGUAUCGGGUUGAAAGUAUCGUACGAAUAAGGAUCGGCUAACUCCGUGCCAGCAGCCGCGGUAAUACGGAGGAUCCGAGCGUUAUCCGGAUUUAUUGGGUUUAAAGGGUGCGUAGGCGGUUUGAUCAGUUAGAGGUGAAAUGUCGGGGCUCAACCCCGAAA
rnacentral:rRNA from 1 species